rnacentral:lncRNA from 1 species
GGUGGUUUAACCUAGGGUUCUACUGCUUUCCGGUGGCUCGAUUCUCACUCAGUGGAUGUUUUGGGUGCCUUUCCGACAUUCCUGACCACAUUUCUAGUAAGGAUUUCGAAAGUUACACCUAAGGUUUUGUAGCUAGGGUUUUCUCUGUUGUUUGAAGGUCAAUCUUCUCCGGUUGCGAAGAAGGAGGGUAACUCUGUCCUUAUCUUCAGUAUUGUAUGUGAUUAUCUGACUCUCCGUAUGUGAGUAUCUGGUGUUGUGUGUGAAUACCUGAUUUGGUUAUACUCUGUUUGUUGGUUGUUGUGUGUGAAUACCUGAUUUGGUUAUACUCUGUUU